rnacentral:rRNA from 1 species
GACAGAGGGUGCAAGCGUUAAUCGGAAUUAUUGGGCGUAAAGAGCGCGUAGGUGGAUUGUUAAGUUGGAUGUGAAAUCCCUGGGCUUAACCUGGGAAUUGCAUUCAAAACUGGCAGUCUAGAGUAUGGUAGAGGGAAGUGGAAUUUCUGGUGUAGCGGUGAAAUGCGUAGAUAUCAGAAAGAACACCAGUGGCGAAGGCGACUUCCUGGACCAAUACUGACACUGAGGUGCGAAAGCGUGGGGAGCAAACAGG